rnacentral:rRNA from 1 species
GACGAACGCUGGCGGCGUGCCUAAUACAUGCAAGUAGAACGCACAGUUUAUACCGUAGCUUGCUACACCAUAGACUGUGAGUUGCGAACGGGUGAGUAACGCGUAGGUAACCUGCCUGGUAGCGGGGGAUAACUAUUGGAAACGAUAGCUAAUACCGCAUAAUAUUGAUUAUUGCAUGAUAAUUGAUUGAAAGAUGCUAUUGCAUCACUACCAGAUGGACCUGCGUUGUAUUAGCUAGUAGGUGAGGUAACGGCUCACCUAGGCGACGAUACAUAGCCGACCUGGGAGGGUGAUCGGCCACCCUGGGACUGAGACACGGCCCAGACUCCUACGGGAGGCAGCAGUAGGGAAUCUUCGGCAAGGGACGAAAGUCUGACCGAGCAACGCCGCGUGAGUGAAGAAGGUUUUCGGAUCGUAAAGCUCUGUUGUAAGAGAAGAACGGGUGUGAGAGUGGAAAGUUCACACUGUGACGGUAUCUUACCAGAAAGGGACGGCUAACUACGUG